UACGAAGGGGGCAAGCGUUGUUCGGAAUUACUGGGCGUAAAGGGCGCGUAGGCGGCUUAUCAAGUCAGGCGUGAAAUUCCCGGGCUCAACCUGGGGGCUGCGCUUGAUACUGAUUGGCUUGAAUGCGGGAGAGGAUAGUGGAAUUCCCAGUGUAGAGGUGAAAUUCGUAGAUAUUGGGAAGAACACCGGUGGCGAAGGCGGCUAUCUGGCCCGUAAUUGACGCUAGGCGCGAAACGUGGGAGCAAACAGG
rnacentral:rRNA from 1 species